AACUCAUCGUGCCUAAUUGUUUACAAUCUGUUCGACGAAACAUGGCUGCUGUCAAGUGAGCUGUUGAUGGUGUACCGAACAGUUACAAUUCACUUAUAUGUUCUCUUUAAUUAUUUAUUUUAAAUAUUUUAAUUCAUAACAGUGUAUUGUAACGGGGAUAGUUUCAAUAGUUUUCGUUUUACUUUGGAACCGUCACAGAUUCCUUCACCCGCGAUAACGCGCCAGUUAGCAUCACUAGCUAACUAGCUCAAGGAGAACAAUGACGGCAAGCUCAUCGGGUGGAAACACCUGUCUCACUGCUAAAGGUUUGGACAUUAGUCUCGCAGCCCUGCAAAGACAAGAUCCUUACAUCAACAACAUUGUAGAUGUUGCGAGUCAAGUGGCGUUGUAUACUUUCAACAACCGAUCAAAUGAAUGGGAGAAGACUGAUGUGGAGGGGACCCUGUUUGUCUAUACAAGGCUAGCAUCUCCCAGACACGGCUUCACCAUAAUGAACAGGCUGAGUAUGGAGAACCUGACUGAACCCAUCACUAAAGACCUGGACUUCCAGCUGCAGGAUCCGUUCCUGCUCUACAGGAAUGCUCGCUUAGCUAUCUAUGGCAUCUGGUUCUAUGAUAAGGCGGACUGCCAGCGCAUCGCAGAGCUUAUGAAGUAUCUGACGAAACAGGAACAGGCCCUAGCCCAGCGGGGUGAGCAGGGUCAGGGGGGCUUGGUGUCUCCUCGAGCCCUGGAGGCAGCAGGGGACCCUGGGAAGGGACAAGGAGUGGACAUCCUGCAGAUGCUGACCAAAGCACGCAAUGAGUAUGACAAGGGUGGCCAACCAGAGCCUAAAGAGAUAAUGUCUGUUAUUGUCUCUCUUUCCUCUCAGGGUGGCCAACCAGAGCCUAAAGAGAUCGGAGGGUGUAGUGUCCUUAAUGCCAACCCCAGCCUGAUCAAACCUAUCCCUGUCAAACCUAUGGAGAGAUAUCCCCAGCCUGGGCUACAGGAGAGGCCUGUUCAGGAUGGUCGAGGAGAGCCCAGGCCUCUCUCUCUGGCCACUCUGUUUGGUGUCCAGCAGCCCAGAGCAGAGCUGGUCUCUCCCAUGGCUGGGUCAGGAGGUCCAGGGUCCCAGCCCCAGGGGAGGCCUGGAGGUGUCCGCCCGGCGGUGGCCCGCUCCUUGUCCUACGACGACCCAGUCCAGGCCCAGCUCCAUCUCCAGGCCCAGGAAGGGGGUCUGAUCUCAGGUAGCAGCCCCCCGCAGCACUGCCCUGCCUUCCAGAAGCUCAUGAAGGAUGCCGCCUCCUCCUCCCAGCCUCAGAAGCAGCUCCAGAGAGGAGGUCCUAUGGAGCAGCUCCAGAGAGGAGGUCCUAUGGAGCAGCUCCAGAGAGGAGGUCCUAUGGAGCAGCUCCAGAGAGGAGGUCCUAUGGAGCAGCUCCAACCCGUCUGCGAGUCACCCGAGAACAGACUGCAUGAGAACGGAGCCCCCUCUGUCCUCCACCAUCAGACCCAGGCCAGACAAGACCCCAUCCAGAGACUGUUCCAGAACCAGCCCACUUCCACCACCCCUUCAAUGACCACCUCCGCUCCCUGUUGUCCUCGUCCUCCUCCUCUCAUCCCUGGUCUCCAGUCUGCCCGUCCUCAGCCUCUCCUGGUGGAUGCUUUGGGCUUCCCUGGUUCUCAACACCAUCACCUCCCUCCUCACCAGGCCCGGCCGUUGUACUUCAGCCCCACCAAGCACCCCCAGAUGCUGGUCCCCAUGUUGCCCUCACACCCCUCCCAGUCUCAACCUCCCCACCAACCCCAUCCUGGUCAUCCUCAGUCACAGCCCUGUCACCCUUUCCACCCCUUCCAGCACCCCCAGCCCUUAUACCUCCAACCCCUGCCAGGUCACCCCCAGCCGGGGCAGCUAACCGGUGUCGUCUCCCCCCAUGAGCUGCUCCAGAGGCUGCAGCUGGUUCAACAGGAGCAGAGUCUGGUCCCAGAGCCCACUAGGCCUUCCUCUAACCUGGCUCCUCGCUUCCACGAGCCAGCCCCUCUAGCCCCCUCAGCCCCCCCAGCCAUGGCGCAGCACGGCCAGCAGUCGGCUCAUUCUACAGCCAGGUCUCUGGACAGUUUGGCUGACAAGAACUCUGCAGGCACCGCUGCUCAGAAGUUCCAGGUGAUCUCCCCCCAGCGUAUCCCAGCCACAGUGGCACCUACCCUGCUCCUGUCCCCCAGUGUCUUCUCCCAGGCCAAGCGCCCCCAGGCCAAAGCCUCUGGGGACACCCACUGCCCCCCUGGCCCUCAUCCUCCCUCAGCCCUCCUGGCCCCACAGGCCCCGGACGACCCCCAACCCAGGGGCCUCUCUAAGAGCCAGCUCCAGGCCACCCUGCUGCACCUCAUACAGGUAGGAGAGAGGAGGAGCCAGGCUGUUUUUACAGGAACAAAGUUACACGGAACAAAAAUAUAUAUAUUAGCAUCGCGCAACAAUUUCAAUGCUUGUACGUGUUCACAGUUCAUAUAAGGCAGUGGUCGCCAAGCGGUCGAUCCAGAUCAACUGGUUGGUCUUCAAGGCAUUACUAGUCGAGUCAUUCCUGACCUUUCUGGAGGACAGACAACGAUGAAGGAUUGCACUUAUUUAUUUUUUUAUUUUUUUGCCCUGUUGGCGGUGGGUGCACUUGAUUCAGAAGCCCUGUUGGCGGUGGGUGCACUUGAUUCAGAAGCCCUGUUGGCGGUGGGUGCACUUGAUUCAGAAGCCCUGUUGGCGGUGGGUGCACUUGAUUCAGAAGCCCUGUUGGCGGUGGGUGCACUUGAUUCAGAAGCCCUGUUGGCGGUGGGUGCACUUGAUUCAGAAGCCCUGUUGGCGGUGGGUGCACUUGAUUCAGAAGCCCUGUUGGCGGUGGGUGCACUUGAUUCAGAAGCCCUGUUGGCGGUGGGUGCGCUUGAUUCAGAAGCCCUGUUGGCGGUGGGUGCGCUUGAUUCAGAAGCCCUGUUGGCGGUGGGUGCACUUGAUUCAGAAGCCCUGUUGGCGGUGGGUGCACUUGAUUCAGAAGCCCUGUUGGCGGUGGGUGCACUUGAUUCAGAAGCCCUGUUGGCGGUGGGUGCACUUGAUUCAGAAGCCCUGUUGGCGGUGGGUGCACUAGAUUCAGAAGCCCUGUUGGCGGUGGGUGCACUUGAUUCAGAAGCCCUGUUGGCGGUGGGUGCACUUGAUUCAGAAGCCCUGUUGGCGGUGGGUGCACUUGAUUCAGAAGCCCUGUUGGCGGUGGGUGCACUAGAUUCAGAAGCCCUGUUGGCGGUGGGUGCACUUGAUUCAGAAGCCCUGUUGGCGGUGGGUGCACUCGAUUCAGAAGCCCUGUUGGCGGUGGGUGCACUCGAUUCAGAAGCCCUGUUGGCGGUGGGUGCACUCGAUUCAGAAGCCCUGUUGGGGGUAGGUGCACGCGAUUCAGAAGCCCUGUUGGGGGUAGGUGCACGCGAUUCAGAAGCCCUGUUGGGGGUAGGUGCACUCGAUUCAGAAGCCCUGUUGGGGGUAGGUGCACUCGAUUCAGAAGCCCUGUUGGGGGUAGGUGCACUUGUAAAGAAAUUAGUGCAUUUUUUUUUUAGAUAUAAGCUUUUUGUUCCGUUUGGAACUUUUCUGGGAUCUUUUAUUUCAGCUCAUGAAACAUGGGACCAAGACUUUACAUGUUUCUAUUUCUCUUCAAUGUAUUUACAUAACAAGACUAGCAAGUCUGCAGGCGUCAAACUCUCUCUCCCCUCCUUGAAGAAGCAGCUGGUCUCACACAGCCAAAUGGUUUGUCCUGGUUCCUGCCUUUAUGUUUAUAUUCACUGUCUUUCUGCUCAGGACACCGUCAGAGACACAAUGUUUAUGUUCAGUCUUUGUACAGCCAGACAGACACUGUCCUGCUAAAGACAGCUGUUUCAGACCAGCGCAGACAGACAGACAGACAG